GGGCUGGGAAGCAGCAAAGAUUUCCCUGGUAAAAGCUGCAAGGACAUCAAAGAACAUACAAACACUACCAUCACCAAAGAAUAUUGGAUAAAACCUAUCCCCACUGCAAAACCAUUUUUGGCGUACUGCGAGAUGGAAUUACAUGAAGGCGGCUGGACUUUGGUCUACCGUUACACUUUCACCAAUUAUACUAAUUUUUAUAUCUCAAACAAUUCAGUCAAUCUUCGCCCAAACUGGCCUGCCCCUAAAGCAAAUGUGGACAUCUCGACAGUACCU
rnacentral:lncRNA from 1 species